UUACCAACAAAUUUCGGGAAAUUAAGGAUGCUAAGUCGAGCUUUACUAAGUCGAAACAGGUUAACAGGUCGUAUACCAUACUCCAUUUCUUAUAUCUAUAGGCUUUCUGAUUUGGAUCUUUCUUUGAACAAGCUCUCUGGUAGCAUACCUCCAUCUCUCGGAAAUAUGCACGUACUUGCAACAUUAAAUCUUGAUGGUAACAAUAUUUCUGGUACUAUACCACCUAGUCUGAUUAAUUCUCGUAUCAACAUUUUGAACUUGAGCAAGAAUGCUAUUGAAGGGUACAUUCCUGAUUCAUUUAAUGAAAGAUCCUACUUUAUGGUAAUGGAUUUAUCUCACAACAAGUUAAAAGGAAGGAUUCCAAAAUCA
rnacentral:lncRNA from 1 species